UACGGAGGGUGCAAGCGUUAAUCGGAAUUACUGGGCGUAAAGGGUGCGUAGGUGGUUUGGUAAGUUAUCUGUAAAAUCCCCGGGCUCAACCUGGGCAGGUCAGAUAAUACUGCUGAACUCGAGUAUGGGAGAGGGUAGUGGAAUUUCCGGUGUAGCGGUGAAAUGCGUAGAGAUCGGAAGGAACACCAGUGGCGAAGGCGGCUACCUGGCCUAAUACUGACACUGAGGCACGAAAGCGUGGGGAGCAAAC
rnacentral:rRNA from 1 species